AGUAACGGCGAGUGAAGCGGCAACAGCUCAAAUUUGAAAUCUGGCUCUCGGGCCCGAGUUGUAAUUUGUAGAGGGUGCUUUGGCGUUGGCUGUGGUCUAAGUUCCUUGGAACAGGAGGUCGCAGAGGGUGAGAAUCCCGUAUGUGGCCGCCAGUCUUCGCCGUGUAAAGCCCCUUCGACGAGUCGAGUUGUUUGGGA
rnacentral:rRNA from 1 species